rnacentral:rRNA from 1 species
GACGAACGCUGGCGGCGUGCCCAAUACAUGCAAGUCGAGCGGAUUUGUUCCUUCGGGGACAAGUUUAGCGGCGGACGGGUGAGUAACACGUAGGUAACCUGCCUAUAAGACUGGGAUAACUAUCGGAAACGAUAGCUAAGACCGGAUAACUGGUUUUCUCGCAUGAGAGAACUAUGAAACACGGAGCAAUCUGUGACUUAUAGAUGGGCCUGCGGCGCAUUAGCUAGNGGUAGGUAAUGGCCUACCAAGGCGACGAUGCGUAGCCGACCUGAGAGGGUGACCGGCCACACUGGGACUGAGACACGGCCCAGACUCCUACGGGAGGCAGCAGUAGGGAAUCUUCCGCAAUGGACGCAAGUCUGACGGAGCAACGCCGCGUGAGUGAUGAAGGUUUCGGAUCGUAAAGCUCUGUUGCCCUAGACGAACCAGCAUGAGGAGUAACUGCCUUGUGUGUGAC